UCCAUCGUGAGGUGGAAUCUGAAGGAAGUUGAAGGGCUGAACGUUAAGAGGUUUUGAAAGUUUGAAGGACUCAAGAGAAAUACCAUAAAAGCAGACAACUUCUCAGGAAGGCUGUUCCCAAAAAAGAAGGCUGGAAGCCUAAAGAUAAUGGGAAAGCGCUUAGU
rfam:Candidatus Atribacteria bacterium 4572_76 ex4572_76_scaffold_10776, whole genome shotgun sequence.